rnacentral:rRNA from 1 species
UACGGAGGAGGCAAGCGUUAUCCGGAAUUAUUGGGCGUAAAGCGUCCGCAGGUGGCACUUCAAGUCUGUCGUCAAAGACUGGGGCUUAACCCUGGAAAGGCGGUGGAAACUGAGGCGCUAGAGUGUGGUAGGGGUAGAGGGAAUUCCCGGUGUAGCGGUGAAAUGCGUAGAGAUCGGGAAGAACAUCGGUGGCGAAGGCGCUCUACUGGACCACAACUGACACUCAGGGACGAAAGCUAGGGGAGCGAAUGGG